ensembl:snRNA U6 U6 spliceosomal RNA
CUGCCCAAUGUGCACAUAUACUAAAAUUGGAACGACACAGAGAAGAUUAGCAUGGCCCCUGCGCAAGGAUGACACACACAUUCGUGAAUCAGCCAUCAAAAAA